rnacentral:rRNA from 1 species
UACGAAGGGGGCUAGCGUUGUUCGGAAUUACUGGGCGUAAAGCGCGCGCAGGCGGUUUUCCAAGUCAGUGGUGAAAGCCCGGAGCUCAACUCCGGAACUGCCAUUGAAACUGUUGAACUUGAGGACGAGAGAGGUGAGUGGAAUUCCCAGUGUAGAGGUGAAAUUCGUAGAUAUUAGGAAGAACACCGGUGGCGAAGGCGGCUCACUGGCUCGUUUCUGACGCUCAGGCGCGAUAGCGUGGGGAUCAAACAGG